GAUGAACGCUGGCGGCAUGCUUUACACAUGCAAGUCGGACGGGAAGUGGUGUUUCCCGUGGCGGACGGGUGAGUAACGCGUAAGAACCUGCCCUUGGGAGGGGAACAACAGCUGGAAACGGCUGCUAAUACCCCGUAGGCUGAGGAGCGAAAGGAGGAAUCCGCCCAAGGAGGGGCUCGCGUCUGAUUAGCUAGUUGGUGAGAUAAUAGCUUACCAAGGCCGUGAUCAGUAGCUGGUCCGAGAGGAUGAUCAGCCACACUGGGACUGAGACAAGGCCCAGACUCCUACGGGAGGCAGCAGUGGGGAAUUUUCCGCAAUGGGCGAAAGCCUGACGGAGCAAUGCCGCGUGGAGGUAAAAGGCCUACGGGUCAUGAACUUCUUUUCCUGGAGAAGAAACAAUGACGGUAGCUGGGGAAUAAGCAUCGGCUAACUCUGUG
rnacentral:rRNA from 1 species